rnacentral:rRNA from 1 species
UACGAAGGGUGCGAGCGUUAUUCGGAUUUAUUGGGCGUAAAGGGUGCGUAGGUGGCAUGUUAAGUCUGUUGUUAAAUUUUCCGGCCUAACCGGAAGUCCGCAAUGGAAACUGGCGUGAUAGAGAGUGGAAGAGGGAAGUGGAAUUCUCGGAGUAGCGGUAAAAUGCGUGGAUCUCGAGAGGAACACCGAUGGCGAAGGCAGCUUCCUGGUCCAUUUCUGACACUGAGGCACGAAAGCGUGGGGAGCAAACAGG